ACGUGGCGGCAUGCUCAUACUGCUGCUUAAACGUGAAAGACUUCGGGUCGAGUAAAGUGGCGCACGGGUGAGUAACGCGUAGAUAAUCUGCCCCGCUGUCUGGGAUAACCUUUCGAAAGGGAGGCUAAUACCGGAUAACACGAUUUCUUUUAAGUGGAGUCGUUGAAAGUAGCGGCGCAACGGGAUGAGUCUGCGUCCCAUUAGCUAGUUGGUGGGGUAAAGGCCUACCAAGGCGACGAUGGGUAGCGGGUUUGAGAGGACGAUCCGCCAAACUGGAACUGAGACACGGUCCAGACUCCUACGGGAGGCAGCAGUAGGGAAUUUUGCGCAAUGGGCGAAAGCCUGACGCAAGCAAUGCGAGUUGAGUGAAAAGGCCCUCGGGUCGUAAAAGUCAUUAUUAUUCGGGAACGAUGAUAAACGGUACCCGAAACGAAAGAAAGCACCGGGAUAAAAUAAGUUGACCAGGAAGACCGGGGGAAAUAACGGUACGGGUGCAAGGCGAGUGGUCCGGGAAAUAACUGCGGCCGUACCAGGGGCGUUGUAAGACACAAAACGAAUAAACGAAGGGGUUAAAAAUCCCCGUGUGGCUUCAACCACCGGGAAAUAGCUCCUUCAAGCAAGACAAACUUAGAGCAAGUCACGGGCCCGUCGGGUAUUCCUGAUUGUCGAGGUGGAAAAUCGGCACAGAUCAAGGAGGAAACAUCGAGAAGCGAAAGGAGGCACGGCAUGGUGGCCCUUCUGAACGCUGAGAGCGCGAAAGCUUGUGGGACAACAGGAUAAGUUCCCGGUGUCCACACGCAACGAGGGUA
rnacentral:rRNA from 1 species